rnacentral:rRNA from 1 species
GACGAAGGGUGCUAGCGUUGUUCGGAAUUACUGGGCGUAAAGAGCGCGUAGGCGGUUUGGUAAGUUGGAAGUGAAAGCCCGGGGCUUAACCUCGGAAUUGCUUUCAAAACUGCCAGGCUAGAGUGUAGUAGGGGAUGAUGGAAUUCCUAGUGUAGAGGUGAAAUUCUUAGAUAUUAGGAGGAACACCGGUGGCGAAGGCGGUCAUCUGGGCUACAACUGACGCUGAGGCGCGAAAGCGUGGGGAGCAAACAGG